CAGAGAUUUAUUUUCCUUUUCAUCUAAUUCUGCUGUAAAAAGGUAUGUGCCACAUGACUGCAGUACCUAUUUAAGCACAUGAAUAAAGCCUGAGUGUCAGUAGAUUUGUUUAAAGCUUUCUAUGUGUGUUAAUCGUUUGUUUAAGCUACAUAACUGCACUAAAUUUUUCUCUGAUUUAGUUUCCUAUUUAAUGUUAAAUAUGUAGUUUAAACAGGAAUUGAUUUUACUUAAUAUCAUAUUGAUUGUAUCUUCAACUAGAAAUGAUCCAUCACUGAUAUACAUGUCAAAACUGCUCCAAAAUGCUUUUUGUUGUCGUCAUAUGAAUUAAUCUAAGAUUGCUUUGGGUUGAAAUAUCCAAGGAUUCAGGUUAUGAAUGGCUUUUGGGUGUUAGAUGUGUGAAGAACAAAAGCACAAGUGGAAUUAUAUUAGCAUUUAGUCAUAUAUUUUUUUGAGUUAAAAUUAUAUUCUAUUGAUACUCAAAAAUUCUGUACAAUUUGAGUCCUAGUAGCAGCUUUGACAGACUACUAUCAUUUACAUCACAAUUUGCUAUUUAACACUUUGUGUCUAUCAAUCUAUAUUACUUCUCAAUACAUACACUAUUCUAAUCAACUCCUAUUAUGUUCCUACUCUUAGUUGUAUCUUGGAUUCCAAUUCAGCUGCUGUAUUGUGCCCUUCCAUUUGCUGAUGUUCUUCCAUCUGACAUGUAUGUGCAACACUAUCUCUCUGCAUAUUUGAAGUUUAUCAUACUUGGCUUUAUCAAACCUGAUUUCGUUUCUCUCCCUCCAAUUUAUUGCAACAAUUAUGGCAAAAAUACAGCUGGUGAUAGCAUUUAUUCCUUUCCUGCUUUUAGC
rnacentral:lncRNA from 1 species